GGGAAUGCAGCUCUAAAUGGGAGGUAAAUUUCUUCUAAAGCUAAAUACCGGCCAGAGACCGAUAGCGCACAAGUAGAGUGAUCGUAAGAUGAAUAGCACUUUGGAAAGAGAGUUAAAAAGUACGUGAAAUUGUUGACAGCGUAGCGCUUGCAGGCAGACUUGUCCGCAGUUGCUCAGCCGGUCUCCUGACCGGUGUACUCUUCUGCGGCCAGGCCAGCAUCAGUUCGGGCGGUCCGAUAUAGACCUCGGGAAUGUAGCUCCUCUCGGGGAGUGUUAUAGCCCGGGGUGGAAUGCGGCCAGCCUGGACUGAGGAUCUCGCUUCGGC
rnacentral:rRNA from 1 species